rnacentral:lncRNA from 1 species
AAAUUUCAGACACCACCCUAUAGUUUCGCAUGAUCUUACUUUAGUACUCUAUAGUUUAAAGUGUAUCAAGUUAGUGUGCUGUAAUUUUAUUUUUAUUUUUUUCGUCAGCUUCUUCUUUAAUAUUUCGCUAAAUUAUAUACAAAAAAUUUUAGAUACCCCAUCCAGGUUUAUCGAAUAUUCAUUUUAGUACCUUUUAGUUUUAACUUUGUCACUGGUUUAACGAAAAAAAUUAGUAGAAUCGAUAAUAAAAAGAUAAAAAUAAAACUAUAGAACUCUAAAUUAAGAUAUUUUAAAGUACAUGGUACUUAAAUGAGAAAGUGUGAAAUCACAGAAAGAGUAUUUGAAGUUUUUCCAAAAGAAAAAGAAAAAUUUGAGUGAGG